rnacentral:rRNA from 1 species
GUGGGGAAUAUUGGACAAUGGGCGCAAGCCUGAUCCAGCCAUGCCGCGUGAGUGAUGAAGGCCCUAGGGUUGUAAAGCUCUUUCACCGGUGAAGAUAAUGACGGUAACCGGAGAAGAAGCCCCGGCUAACUUCGUGCCAGCAGCCGCGGUAAUACGAAGGGGGCUAGCGUUGUUCGGAAUUACUGGGCGUAAAGCGCACGUAGGCGGAUUGGUCAGUUAGAGGUGAAAUCCUGGAGCUCAACUCCAGAACUGCCUUUAAUACUGCCAGUCUAGAGUCCAGAAGAGGUGAGUGGAACUCCUAGUGUAGAGGUGGAAUUCGUAGAUAUUAGGAAGAACACCAGUGGCGAAGGCGGCUCACUGGUCUGGUACUGACGCUGAGGUGCGAAAGCGUGGGGAGCAAACAGGAUUAGAAACCCUGGUAGUCC